AUUUAAAUAGUUUAUUUUAAAAUAUUAAAUUGUGAAUUUAAUGAUGUUAUUUUACUUUAAAUA
rnacentral:tRNA from 1 species